rnacentral:rRNA from 1 species
GACGAACGCUGGCGGCGUGCUUAACACAUGCAAGUCGAACGGUAAGGCUCCAGCUUGCUGGGGUACACGAGUGGCGAACGGGUGAGUAACACGUGGGUGACCUGCCCUGCACUUCGGGAUAAGCCUGGGAAACUGGGUCUAAUACCGGAUAGGACCGCACCGUGAGGGUGUGGUGGAAAGUUUUUUCGGUGUGGGAUGGGCCCGCGGCCUAUCAGCUUGUUGGUGGGGUAAUGGCCUACCAAGGCGGCGACGGGUAGCCGGCCUGAGAGGGUGGACGGCCACAUUGGGACUGAGACACGGCCCAGACUCCUACGGGAGGCAGCAGUGGGGAAUAUUGCACAAUGGGCGGAAGCCUGAUGCAGCGACGCCGCGUGGGGGAUGACGGCCUUCGGGUUGUAAACUCCUUUCACCAUCGACGAAGGGUUUCUGACGGUAGAUGGAGAAGAAGCACCGGCUAACUACGUGCCAGCAGCCGCGGUAAUACGUAGGGUGCGAGCGUUGUCCGGAAUUACUGGGCGUAAAGAGCUCGUAGGUGGUUUGUCGCGUCGUCUGUGAAGUUCCGGGGCUUAACUCCGGGCGUGCAGGCGAUACGGGCAUAACUUGAGUACUGUAGGGGAGACUGGAAUUCCUGGUGUAGCGGUGAAAUGCGCAGAUAUCAGGAGGAACACCGGUGGCGAAGGCGGGUCUCUGGGCAGUAACUGACGCUGAGGAGCGAAAGCAUGGGGAGCGAACAGGAUUAGAUACCCUGGUAGUCCAUGCCGUAAACGGUGGGCGCUAGGUGUGGGUUUCCUUCCACGGGAUCCGUGCCGUAGCUAACGCAUUAAGCGCCCCGCCUGGGGAGUACGGCCGCAAGGCUAAAACUCAAAGGAAUUGACGGGGGCCCGCACAAGCGGCGGAGCAUGUGGAUUAAUUCGAUGCAACGCGAAGAACCUUACCUGGGCUUGACAUAUACAGGAUCGCGCCAGAGAUGGUGUUUCCCUUGUGGCUUGUAUACAGGCGGUGCAUGGUUGUCGUCAGCUCGUGUCGUGAGAUGUUGGGUUAAGUCCCGCAACGAGCGCAACCCUUGUCUUAUGUUGCCAGCACGUUGUGGUGGGGACUCGUAAGAAACUGCCGGGGUUAACUCGGAGGAAGGUGGGGAUGACGUCAAAUCAUCAUGCCCCUUAUGUCCAGGGCUUCACACAUGCUACAAUGGUCGGUACAGUGGGUUGCCAGUCCGUGAGGGCGAGCUAAUCCCGCAAAGCCGGUCUCAGUUCGGAUCGGGGUCUGCAACUCGACCCCGUGAAGUCGGAGUCGCUAGUAAUCGCAGAUCAGCAACGCUGCGGUGAAUACGUUCCCGGGCCU